rnacentral:rRNA from 1 species
CAGGAGUUAACAUGUACGCAAGUCAUUGGGCGUCCUGUACCCCAAAGGCGAAAUGAAAUGUGAAGUUUACCUCGUGUAAAUGCGACGUGAUCCCUUGUCCAUGUGGCAGGGGCGCAACGUCUGCCCGUCUAAGUGAUUUAUUCACUGGGCGGCGCAAGAGCGUACAUGUUGGCACCCGAAAGAUGGUGAACUAUGCUUGGGCAAGACGAAGCCAGAGGAAACUCUGGUGGAGGUCUGAAGCGAUUCUGACGUGCAAAUCGAUCGUCUGACCUGAGUAUAGGGGCGAAAGACUAAUCGAACCAUCUAGUAGCUGGUUCCCUCCGAAGUUUCCCUCAGGAUAGCUAACACUCGGUUGGAACAGUAUCAUGCGGUAAAGCGAAUGAUUAGAGGAAUUGGGGUCAUAAUGGCCUCAACCUAUUCUCAAACUUUUAAUGCGUGAGAGAACCGCUUACUUAAUUGAAGUGUUGUCAAAAUAUGAGAGUGUUUAGUGGGCCAAUUUUGGUAAGCAGAACUGGCGAUGUGGGAUGAACCAAACGUAGAGUUAAGGUGCCCGACGUGACGCUCAUGAGAACCCAUAAAGGGUGUUGGUUGCUUAAGACAGCAGGUCGGUGGCCAUGGAAGUUGGA